UUAUUUCUCAAAAAAAAUAAAAAUAAAGGAUAUGGAAGAAACUCUUUUUACACAGAUCUAUUCAACCAUGGAAAUAGAUCUUGUUAUGCUACUUCUUUUUCUAUCCUUUUUCCUUUUUUUUAAUUUACAAAAGAAAAUCUCUCUACCUUUAAUAGAAGAAAUAAAAAAUUACAAAUCCGUGUAGCGCGUCUAACAGAUCGGAAGGUUGUUAAUCCGAUUUUUGUCGGGACUAAAAAUUUGAUCUACAACCGGUUAUGCUUUCUUUCUAACAGAUUAUCCAGAAAUAAAAAUUCUGAGUCGGGUCAACAUGGGUGACCCAUGCCCAUAAUCCAAUAGUUUGACAAGACGUCAAUGAAAAAUUGUCAUCUAUUUCACUAACAAUCCCCCUCAGCAAUCCCUUGGAGGCUGAGACGAGAAUGAGGAAUGGCUCUAAGCACAGAUAGCGACAACACCGGCUCUAGGAGCUUGAAGGUGAUAGCAGCAUCCGUUCGGUGAAGUUAGAAUCAAAUCUUUUGGUUGGCUUUCUCAGUUCAUUCAUGAGUGAUAAUUCAAGGGCAUGAAGCUAGUAUGAGUCUAGUUACUUUGUCUAUUAUGGUGGUUAUGUUUUCAAAAUUUAUUGAUAGAUAGAUUUAUUUGUUGUUCUAAUUGCUGCAUAUUUAGCAAAGCCUAUAAGUGUUGCUAUGGGGAUCAUCAAGAAACAUAUGCUACCAAUUUAUGAUUUUGUGGACACAUUGAUGGUAAGAUCUAUCGAGUCAUUGAUUUCCAAUACCAAAUAGUUAUCCCAGAACAAAUAAAACAAUGGAAAAAACAUUAACUCCCUCUGUUUUAAUCUGUUUGUCUUACUUAGGCCUGUGCAC